AGGAACAACGCUCGAUGCCCAGCAAAGCUUGGUGCCGAUCGCCCCCUGCUGGAGAUGGCCGGACCUGCACGGAUCAGCCCGCCCAGGCCUCCCUGCCCCAAGACGUGGGUUCCAGGUUUCCUGUGCCGUUCUUAGUAGCUAGAGCGGUAGAUAUAAACAGCAAGAGCCCCAGACCUGAAGAACUCGGUCUAAGUGUGUUAGGGAACUUCCCGCCACACCCAGAAGUGAAGCGGUCGGAUGUUUGGUCGGCCAUGUACACGGGCCUGAGUUCCGAUGGGUGUAGAAAAGGGCAGGAGAGGGGUGUAUAAAAGGAUAGAAUGACGCAACAAUAGCAAACGCGUCAGCAAGCGUGCCCUGUGUCGGGAGCCCGUCUAGACCUUGGGCAGCUACUAGCUCCUUUAAGUCUUGCAACUGUGUUGUCUCCAUUUUAUUGAUGGAGAGACUGGGGCAUGUCAAGUAACUUGCCCAAAGCACAGGGCUGCCACUCACCUCUCUAGAAAGCAAAACGGGACACAAGGAGGGGACUUUUUCAGUCCUGAGGUUGGGAUGCUUCUGCUCGUGCCCUCUUUUGGUGCUCAAAGCGACAACAUCCUCUCGACCCCUCAUCUCACAAGAAUGGAAGCAUGACCUUCAAGACUAAUCCUGUUGCCUCACCAUGGCUCAUACAGAAAAUGACCAUGUUAUUGCAGCCCGCAAUAGCUGCAGAGAUGGGAGAGGUGUGUAGGCUUUAAUGUUGGGCUUUUUUGUUGUUGUUCUAUAAUUCCAAGAGAAACAAAACAAUCAUGUGUCCCAGAAGACUGACUUGGAAUACAAAUUCCAAAUACGAUAUUCGCCAGACUUAUUUUUUAACAGUUUAUUGAGGUGUACUUGAGGUAAAAUAAACCACAUGUUUUUUAA